rnacentral:rRNA from 1 species
UACGUAGGUGGCAAGCGUUGUCCGGAUUUAUUGGGCGUAAAGAGCGCGCAGGCGGUUUGUUAAGUCCGAGGUGAAAUCUCCCGGCUCAACUGGGAGGGGUCUUCGGAUACUGGCCGACUUGAGGAGAGCAGAGGUGAGUGGAAUUCUCGGUGUAGUGGUGAAAUGCGUAGAUAUCGAGAGGAACACCAGCGGCGAAGGCGGCUCACUGGGCUCCACCUGACGCUGAGGCGCGAAAGCGUGGGGAGCGAACCGG